AUGGAAGCUACCAUAUCUGUAGUCACAGGUGAACUAGUGAGCCGUUUCAUCUCCUUCCCGAAGAACCAGUACUACUCAUCUUUGAGCGAUGCACAAUCAGAGGAGAAGGUGGUGAGGAGAUUGCAGCACCUCCUGAUGAGAGUCAGCAUCAUCAUCGAGGAGGCAGAUGCACGGUACAUAACAAAUUAUGGGAUGUUGUUGCAGCUAAAGAUGCUCUCGGAGGCCAUGUACAAAGGGUACCGCGUGCUGGACACCUUGAGGUAUCAAAACCUCCAAGACAGUGCAGACACUAACGAGGUUAGUAUCGAUGACCCAUCAAGCAGCAUCUUGUAUAUAUCCAUUCCUUUCAAGCGUUCUCGAAAAAAAAUUGAGAAGCAUGACAUGGCCAUGCACCUCGAGUCAGAUGGUGCCUUGGAAAGCUUAGAACUUGCUGUUGCUAACAUGGCAGAAUUUGUUGUCCUUCUGAGUGGAUGUGAGCGCAUGUCUCGUAGGCCAUAUGAUGUUUAUCUUUACACCAACAACUUCAUGUUCAGCCGACAUGCUGAAAAGCAAAAACUAUUGAGCUUCUUGUUGGAGCACAACAAUCCUCCUGGUGAUCAUGCACCGACAGUUCUUCCAAUCAUAGGUGGUUUCGGAGUUGGAAAGAAAACAUUGGUUGCUCAUGUGUAUGCAGAUGAAAGGGUUCGCUCACGCUUCUCCUCUACAUUGCACUUGAAUGGAGACAACCUCUUGACAAUACUGGACCAUGGAGGGGCCAUGUUUGACAUGAUGUUGGUAGUUAUAGAGUUUUCUUCUGAUAUAAGUGACGACGAAUGGAAAAAGUUUCACUUGUUUCUCGUAAGAAUGAGUAGAGGAAGCAAGAUCAUCAUCGUAAGUAAACUGAAAAGAUUAGCCCGUUUUGGAUCAGUGCAACCUAUUUUCCUAAGUGUUUUGUCUUAUGAUGAGUUGAGGUAUCUUUUUAAGACCCUAGCAUUCGGGAGUGUAGACCCUGCAGAACAUCCACAACUAGUAUAA
rnacentral:rRNA from 1 species